GUCGAACGAAGCACCUUAUUUGAUUUUCUUCGGAACUGAAGAUUUGGUGACCGAUUGGCGGACGGGUGAGUAACGCGUGGGUAACCUGCCCUGUACAGGGGGAUAACAAUCAGAAAUGACUGCUAAUACCGCAUAAGACCACAGCACCGCAUGGUGCAGGGGUAAAAACUCCGGUGGUACAGGAUGGACCCGCGUCUGAUUAGCUGGUUGGUGAGGUAACGGCUCACCAAGGCGACGAUCAGUAGCCGGCUUGAGAGAGUGAACGGCCACAUUGGGACUGAGACACGGCCCAAACUCCUACGGGAGGCAGCAGUGGGGAAUAUUGCACAAUGGGGGAAACCCUGAUGCAGCGACGCCGCGUGAGUGAAGAAGUAUCUCGGUAUGUAAAGCUCUAUCAGCAGGGAAGAAAAUGACGGUACCUGACUAAGAAGCCCCGGCUAACUACGUGCCAGCAGCCGCGGUAAUACGUAGGGGGCAAGCGUUAUCCGGAAUUACUGGGUGUAAAGGGUGCGUAGGUGGUAUGGCAAGUCAGAAGUGAAAACCCAGGGCUUAACUCUGGGACUGCUUUUGAAACUGUCAGACUGGAGUGCAGGAGAGGUAAGCGGAAUUCCUAGUGUAGCGGUGAAAUGCGUAGAUAUUAGGAGGAACAUCAGUGGCGAAGGCG
rnacentral:rRNA from 1 species